GCUCCCGCUCCUUGGGCCAGUUCCAGGUGCAGGGCCUGCCCCACAGAGGCCUCCUCUGCCUGCAGGCUGAUGGCCACGGCCACCGCCAUGGCCGGCUCUCAGCACCUGGGAGAGCUACAGGGAGCUCAGGCUGGGGCCAGCUCAAGCCCUCCUUGAACAGAAGAGGAAACCGAGGCCCGUGUGCAGUGCCGCACACGGUGGCAGCAGGGACAGGGUCACAGUCCACGCUGCCGUUGGGGGCUCCUCCCCUCUGCCGCACCACCCUCCUUGGCCACAGGAGGAAGAGGGGUGGCCUGGGCCGGGGGAGGCGGGAAGGAGCCCCCCGCUCCCGAGGCUUCAGGCAGCAUCUCUGGGGACACGACUUCCCGGACCUCGAGAACAGAGGAGCGGGUGCCGGCCCUCUGCCAGGCUCAGUCAGCCAACCACCCUCAGCCUCAGGCCGUGGGGUACAACGGCAGUCAUCCUAACAACACGACGGCAGCAAAUGCCCCGGCGGGGCUGAUCACGGAGCAGGCACUGCUCUCAACGUUAGCACUCGGUCUGCACAGCUGCCUACAGGUCAGGCCAUCACCGUGUGACCAGGGACACUGAGGCACAGAGCACGUCCGGGGGCCCACAGCAAGUCGGUAGCCCAGCAGCCAGGGGGUCUGCAGAGCCCUCGGCCCCGCCACCAGGGCGGCCUCCCGAGCAGCAAGGGGUCUAGCUGCCUAUCCAUCCCGGAGGCUGGACUGGCUUUGCCCACAGGGGGAAACCGCCAGCACCCGGGGAGGGGAGGGGGGGCCCCCCGCGGUUUUCUCAGUCAGGCUGGGGAGCUCCCAUCUGUGGGGAAGAAGCCACUAUCACCCACAGGCUCAUGACUCAGCCCUCAGGAGUUGUGGCUGGGGAGCCACACGCACACCCCAAGAGAGGGUGCAGGGCCCGGCGCCUCCCCCGUCCCCCACCUCCCUGCGCCAGCAGGGACCACAAGCAGAGCCUGGCCAGGCGGUCAGCGCGUCAGGCUGAGGAAGAGAUACGGGGACAGAGACCUGGGGCUGAACAUACGAGGGGGAGGGGAAGAUGGCCACGGGGCUUCCAGGAGCUGGCCCAGCCCUGCAGGGGCUCCCGCCCCAGUCCCCUCCAGCCUCAGCCCCUCAGCCUCACCGGCACACAGAGUUCCCCAUGGCGAGACCCCAGGACCGGAGAGAGGGCUCCUCCCCCUGCAAUCUAUCUGCCUCCACCUCCCUGGGCCGCGGGGCCCUCAGCCCUGCAGCUCUUGUCCCCACCCCUGACAUGUGCUCAGCUGUUGUUUUCAUCUGCCAGUUUAUUAUCUGUCCACUAAUGUCUGGGGCUUUUCCAGUCUGUGCCUGGAAUGCCUGGGGGCUAGGAGUCCACACAAUCCUGGCUUCCAGGGGGCCUCCUCCCGGGCCAGCCUCUGCACCUUUACUGGUGGGGAAACCAAGGCCUAGACAGGAAAAGACUCAGGCACUGAAAACCUGCCCGCCGGGUCACCUGAGGACACUCACGGCAGACAGGGACAGAGCACUGAGAAUGGCAGGGUGCACGGCAGGGUGGGGGGAGGGGAGGAGCGGGGAGGGUGGCACCCAGGCACCCAGGAAGACAGCCUGGGAGAGGCCUCGACGUCCGGCUCCCAGUCCAAGAGUGAUGCGGCCCAAACGCACACACUCCCACAGCUGGGGGUGAAGCGGGUUGGACACCCCCCACCCCGAAAGGGAACCACUGCUUGGUCUCUUGGCUGGUCUGUGGGUCUGCCAACACCUUCUGGUAAGGGCAGGAUGUGGGAAGGCGGGGACAUCUGGCGCUCCAGGCACCAGCCCCGUCUGGAAAAGAGACCUUCAACAGAGGAACUGAGGGGGAACAGCUUUCUUCGAGUCCCACCCGCUGACGUUCUGAGGGUCUUACAGCUGGAAAGCGCAGGGGCCACCCGGAGCCAUCUCUUGUCUGACGGAACAACUCAGGGACUCCCGUCCACUCUGCACUCCGCCCUCUGCCGUGACUCAGCUCCUCUCUCGGGCCUGGGAUCCCAGCCAGAAUUAAUCCCGGCUUCCUCUCCCGCCAGGGGACAGGGAGCACCCCUUCCCCGCCUGGCUCCUCCUUCCCAAACUCUGUCCUCUUGCAAGACCCCCUCACAGCCCGGCCCCAGGUUGGGAAGGGAAACGGGUAGGCCACCCAAGGUCAGCGUGCGCCUCCCUCCGGCUGCAAACACGCGUGUCAGGCCUUGGCCAACUCUGAGGUAACAGCCCUGCCUUUCCCAGGGCCUCCCCGUGCCCCCAGCACAGGCCUUCUCCCCAACACAGCCCUCGCCACUGUCCUCAAAGGGGAGGCGUCCCAACAAAGUGUCCUUUCCUACUAGCAACAAAAACAGCAGAGGCCAAGAGCGUAUUGUCAUAAUUACCUGCUCCUAACAAACUUUCUUUGAGAAAGAGAGACGCGUGUCCGCACGUUUGACUCCACGGCUCGUGGCAGACAUUGCUACUGAGCAUAGCACUGGCUGCUAAUUAUAUUCGCAUUAAGUAUGCUUGUUUCUCACGUUAUAGCUGGGUAUUGUGGAGGACUGACGUCUCACGCCGUGGGUCAUGGUUCUACUCCGUGAGGGCUCUCUGUAGACCUUCUGCUCUAACCGCUUUAUUUCACAGCUAGGGAAAUCCAGAGAGGG